AAGUCGUAACAAGGUAACCGUAGGUGAACCUGCGGUUGGAUCAUUAAAAAUGAUACAACGGUGCUUGUCCUUUUCUGAAGGCAUGCCCGUGGCUCCUCUGCGAGCUAAAACAUUCUGUGAACUGUACCUGUCUCUGGCGGAGGGGUGGCUUGAAAACCCACCUGUCAGCAUAAGCGAUUAUGCCGUGGACAACACGCCAGCCACUUGUCAUACACUUAUCAUUGUCUAAACACAUCGUAUUCUAUAAUACAAAAAAACAACUUUUGGCAACGGAUCUCUUGGCUCUC
rnacentral:misc_RNA from 1 species